GGUUCUUGUGCAGCGCGCGGCCCCGCUUUCACGUUUAACAUCGGGGUCACGUCUGCUGACGUCACGCAGCAUCUCCUGUACGUCCAGCCACAUUUACAUACAUCAAGAAAAUUAGGGCAUAAAAUAUGCAAAUCCUGCUAAACACUCGCUUCCAGUAACCAUCAUUAACAGAGAUUUUAAAGUAAACCUCGCUUCAGAACAAGUAAAACUUACUUCUCUCUGCGGAGACGAUUUUCACUGAAGAACGGGAUGGAGCGGAAGAAUCCUUUGCAUAAUAAAGCUGCUGCUGCGCCAUUCUCACCUCCUGCUGCCGUUGGUUCCGUCUGUGUAUUAUUUUUAAUACUGAUGCAUAUGUAAAGGACCUUUUGCUCCAGAGGCCACGACGUAAUGCUUUUGUUGGAGUCUUCACUUUUAUGGAUUAGUCAGUGUGAAAUUAUGAACAAAAAUGAGCAACGAAAACCAGGAUACUAAAGUCUUCUUCGUUAAAAAAUGAAAAGUUGAAAGGAUGAAUGAAUGAAUAAUAAACGAAGUAACUACAUAAACGAACAAACAAACGGAUGCACAUUUAACUGCUUACUAAUUCCAAAGUAAGAUCCGUUUGAAUUGCGAUUGUUUUACACAGGUGCAAUAUGUUUUACCACUCUUGCUCAAAUAAAAAUGUCUGCCUAAAGAACAUUGGCGAUAAAAAUGCACUGUUUGGAAUGGUAAUAUCCGCAGUUUUUUGUAAUACAAUGACUGGUUGUACUCGUUUACAAGUUAAGAAUUGUUACUGUCUCAUAACUUCAAUAAAAUGUGCAUUUUUUAUA